rnacentral:lncRNA from 1 species
CUUUUCGCUCUGGAAAGGGCUUUCAACUGCUUUUCUUAGCAACUCCGCACAGCAGGGUAGGAGGUUUAGCUGCCAGCCAGAGCUGCACGGAACUGUGGCAUGUGGAGGAUGUGAAAAGGGCCACCAUGGGCCUGAGCUCCUGCCAGCCCCCGGUCCCCCAGUCCCCCUGCCAGGAGGCCACAGGCCACCCAGGACAGCAGCCACAAGAGAGGGCUUAGUUGGAGAGCACAGUUUGUUCCCCUGGGGUCCCCUGGGCCUGGAAGAGCUGCUGGCUCUUUCCCAGGGCUUGUCUGUCUGUCCUCUACCAGGGGCUCUCCUUGCCUUGAUGCCUUGUUCGGCUCUGAGACUGAGACUGGGUUCCUAGACUAACCCCAGGGAGUGAGGAGAUGCCCUAUCCUUCUCAUCUGUCCAAGGGUGACAGCAGAGUCCACCCUGGUGUUGUUUUCUGCCGCCCUCACACAGCGCCUGGUACACUGUUCCCUCAGCCACUGCAUAUUGGAUGAAUACGGCUUUCACGGUUCAGGCAGAGAAGGAGUCUCAGAAGCUGCCUCCUUCCCGCUGUACACGAAAAGACAGAGAUCCCUCGGCAGUCAUCUCUAAACUCCCAGCGCCAGGCAGGCGGCGGGCGCACAAUAAACGUUUGUGCAAUGACGCCUGCAAGAGGGGUGGUCCCAAGCGCCGCGCUCCCCUCUGCCCACGUCCUCCUUACCUGUAAGACACCUGCUUUCGUAGGUGCAGCUGGCGGAAACGCU